AACAAUCUAAACUCUAUAAGGAAGGCUGGACGAUGCUUUAGAAUGUGAGUUCUCGUUGUCACACGGCUAAAACCCUCUAGUUACGUAAAAAAGAAAAUUUAACUUCUAUUUUACGGAUAUUAAGAGAAUUUUAGAAGCAACAAUCUACAAUAAAAGGCAAGGGUGAAGCUACGAGUAGCCAAUGGGAUACAAUGGAAUUCCUUUUGUUUUCUUUUCAAAAAAUUAUAGUUUAAAUAGAAUAAAAUUAAUUUAUUUUAAUUGUAUAUAAUUGUUUUUGGUAAGUUAAGAUCUUAUUAACCAAAGUAGAGUUAUUACAGAGUUCCCAAGAAAUAAAAAAUAAAAAAUAAAAAACUGGCGCAUGGAUAAAGUCCCAUGAUCCAGAUCAACAAACAUCUAAAUCUGCUUAAUCAAACCAAACAAACAAAAACUAAACAGAGUAGUAGUCUAAUUGCCUGAGUCUGCUAGCAAGUUUGGGAUGCAUACUCCCCCUCACCACCACAUCUUGUAUGAUUUGCCUUAUGAGAACCUCAAGAGCCCUUUGCUUCCUUUGCAAUAUCCUGUUAUUCCUUUUUUAUCAAACAAAAUACACAUUACCAGCUACAACCAUUCUAAACACCUGAGAUUGUGCAGAUUUCCCAUUCACUUGUGCAAUCAUCCAUGCCAUUUCACUUGUCCAGUCCAUAGCACUCCUGCUAUAUCCAAGUCAGGCUAACAGUUUCCUCCACACAAUAGUAGAAUAAGCACACUUAAAGAAUAAAUGAUCCACUGAUUGAUCUUCAUUACCACACGGGGAGGACAUGUUACUUGAUCAGUGAUGUAUCAUUUCUUCAACAUGUCUCUUGUAUACAGUCUCUUGUUCAGUGGCAAAUAAACGACAAAGAUCCAGACUUAGGUGAGCCAUGAUUGUUGCAAGUUAACCUUCUCCAAGUGACCUUAUGGUAGUUCCCUCUUAGCUGCAGAAACAGUCUCUCUAUCUCUAAGAGUAGGGAUAAGGUGUGUUUACACUUUAUCUUCUCAAGACCUCAUUCGUACGAUUACAAGGUCAUACAUCUGUACAUGGGGUGGUGGAGCUUUACAUCUGGACAGCUGUCACAGUCAUCCACAUGCCGCGUAAGCAGAAGCACUUGGUCAACCAUCAUCCAGUUCUCGGCCAGCUUACUAAUUCAUUCUAUUUCAAAGCGCGUGAGGAAACCCCGCACUUUCAAACUUUGACCACAAAAACAAAAAGAAUUAUCCACAACACAAAUAUGCUGUCAAAAUCCCACUUGCACAUUAUAACAUCACCAGGUCCACAAUCCUUUUUU